rnacentral:rRNA from 1 species
GUCCACGCCCUAAACGAUGUGUGCUGGGCGUCGGGGGCUUGCCCCGCGGUGCCGGAGCCAACGCGGUAAGCACACCGCCUGGGGAGUACGGCCGCAAGGUUAAACUCAAGGAAUUGACGGGGCCCGCACAAGCGGUGGAGCAUGUGGUUUAAUUCGACGCAACGCGCAGAACCUUACCAGCCCUUGACAUGGCGGCAAAAAGCCGGGCGCGAGCCCCGGGGUUCCUUCGGGAGGCCGUCACAGGUGCUGCAUGGCUGUCGU